rnacentral:lncRNA from 1 species
CCAAGCCUCAUCCUCUCUAGCCCUCUCUCGGCGUCCCUCCUAUGGCUGCUUCCAGCCAUCUCCCAUGGCACUCUAGGCACCAGUCGCCUCCCAUGGCGCUCCUGCACUUCUGCUCGCCCAAGCUCCACUUCCCUAUUCCAGCCAUCUCCCAUGGCCAAUCCAGCUCCUCCCAUGGACGCUAGCCCUCAUCUCAUGGUCGCCCCUACACUAGCGUUUGUCUCUGCUCCAGCCCUCCCUAGCUCCUCUCUACUAGUGGACGUCCCUAGUCUUUCCAUGCGAGCUUGCCCCCUCCAGCCAAGGAUGCACCACUCCCUUUUGCUGCUCGUCGUGGACACGCUCGGCGCCCUCUCCUCACUUGAAGCUAGCAGCAACACCUUGUUAGUGGUCGAGUAGCACGUCAUCGGCUCCGUGAUUUUUGGGCAGCCCGGUUGCGGUGUCGUCAAAACCCGGUGAGACCCUGUUGUCCCUGCAUGCCAUGUGUUUGAUGUAAUGCCUCGAUGUCAUUUCUUGCAGCCCUCUGUCG